CCUCCUGCGGGAUUCACUGGAGCUCUGCCCGCAGGUGGUGGGGUGACAUGCAUGCAGGUUGAGCUGCUGUUGGAAGGAGGCCCCUUGGCUCCUGUUGGCCAGGGACCAUGAACCCAGCGCUGUGACAUUUCUGCACUUGGAAAAUCAUACUCCCUGCAGAGUCCACAUGCCGCAGAGCCCAUCUGGGCAGAGAAGAACAUUCUAACUCCAAGUCAGGAUUUGAUUAUUGAGUGCGAUCUGACCAUUGUUAAUUGCUGAAUUGGGACUGCCUGCAUUUGAAAGUGACUAUAGAAAUCUUUAUUGCCUACGAGUGACCAGAAGAACCAUGUUGAUUAUUUAAGAUUUCAUCCAAGAAGGACCACUUCCACUGAGGAGGUCUCACUUAGGAUGCUGACUCCUGGCCUGGUACGAUGCUGACUACUGAUGCCAGAAGAUGAUAGCAGAAGCUGCUCCUCAACCUUUCCUCCUGGUCACAGAGAUGAGUUGCUGAGAGAGAAGUAUGCGAGGCAUGAAGCAAUAACCACCAACACAAUUAGAGGACAACCUUGAGAAUCACCCUGGUGGUUGCCGUGAUGCUGGCACUGCAGACGCUCCCAGGCCUGGGAUGAAGAGUGUCAGGGAUGCUUGGCUUGGAUCCGCUGGGCUCUGUGUGUGGUUCAGGCUUUCCAGAGCCCAGCCUGUUGGAAACUGGGCACAUGCCUUGGUGUCUAUCCCAACAUCAAGUACGACCAA
ensembl:lncRNA